ensembl:lncRNA
GUGAGAAAGAUGGUGGUUCCUUUUAACAUGAGUCUUCAAUAUUCCCAGAAGACCACCCAAAGCAACACCAAGUCAAGGCCAAGACCGGAGCAAAUCGAGACCAAUUCAAGACCAGGACCAGAGCUAAUCGAGACUGGAGGGAGACAGAGUCAAGACCAGAACAAUGCAAGUCCAAUCAAAGAUCAUGAUUGUAAUUUUGUCAGAUUUCUACUAUAAUAAGUGUUGUAUUUCUGUGCUCAUACGGAUUCUGUGUUCAUAUUUCAACCUCGGAUGGGGCCACAGUGUCUCCUGACCCCUCCUGUCUCAGCCUCCAGUAUUUAUGCUGCAGUAGUUUAUGUGUCGGGGGGCUGGGGUCAGUUUGUUAUAUCUGGAGUACUUCUCCUGUCCUAUUCGGUGUCCUGUGUGAAUCUAAGUGUGCGUUCUCUAAUUCUCUCCUUCUCUCUUUCUUUCUCUCUCUCGGAGGACCCGAGCCCUAGGACCUGAGCUCCAGGACUACCUGACAUGAUGACUCCUUGCUGUCCCCAGUCCACCUGGCCAUGCUGCUGUUCCAGUUUCAACUGACCUGAGCCCUAGGACCAUGCCCCAGGACUACCUGACAUGAUGACUCCUUGCUGUCCCCAGUCCACCUGGCCAUGCUGCUGCUCCAGUUUCAACUUCCACCUGACUGUGCUGCUGCUCCAGUUUCAAUUGUUCUGCCUUAUUAUUAUUCGACCAUGCUGGCCAUUUAUGAACAUUUGAACAUCUUGGCCAUGUUCUGUUAUAAUCUCCACCCGGCACAGCCAGAAGAGGACUGGCCACCCCACAUAGCCUGGUUCCUCUCUAGGUUUCUUCCUAGGUUUUGGCCUUUCUAGGGAGUUUUUCCUAGCCACCGUGCUUCUACACCUGCAUUGCUUGCUGUUUGGGGUUUUAGGCUGGGUUUCUGUACAGCACUUUGAGAUAUCAGCUGAUGUACGAAGGGCUAUAUAAAUAAAUUUGAUUUGAUUUGAUUUGAAAACAUAUGGAUUCUGUGUUCAUAUUUCAGAACAUGGAUUCUGUGCUCAUAUUUCAAAACAUAUGGAUUCUGUGUUCAUAUUUCAGAACAUAUGGAUUCUGUGUUCAUAUUUCAAAACAUAUGGAUUCUGUGCUCAUAUUUCAGAACAUAUGGAUUCUGUGUUCAUAUUUCAGAACAUAUGGAUUCUGUGUUCAUAUUUCAGAACAUAUGGAUUAUGUGUUCAUAAUUUGGAACAUAUAGAUUCUGUGUUCAUAUUUCAGAACAUAUGGAUUCUUUAGUCAUUCAGUAUGAUGAAAAAAAUGCAUGACCAAAGCUGGUCUCUGAAUAACAGAUUUAAAAAAUCUAAAUAUUUGACCAUUUCCGCCGGUCCCCUCUUACUAAUAGCGAGCAUGCAACUAAUACAAUUUCCCCUAGUGUCCCCUAUUAGCGGUGCAAGGAAAUUAAGAGGAUCAAAUCAAAUCAACUCAACUCAACUUUAAUUAUAAACCCCUUUUUACAUCAGCAGAUGUCACAAAGUGCUCAUACAGACACCCAGCCUAAAAUCCCAAACAGCAAGCAAUGCAAUGUAGAAGAGGAUAAUCUAUAUGUCUCUGUAAGUGCUUCUUUAGUACACAGAGGUGAAAAACCCAGAGAGAGAGAGAGAAUAGAGAGAGAGAGUUUGUUUGUGUGUGUUCACAGGUGCAUGUGUGCCCUUACAAAUUCCACAUGUGAAACUGCAUAUCUGAUUCUCAAAUGUGAAAAGUAAAACCACAAAUUUCAGAUGUGAAACUGCAAUUCACAUGUGAGGUGAAAACAUGUUGGUGUUAAAAUGUGAACUCUAAAUGUAACACGUGAAAUUUAGGCUCAACAUCUGAAAACAGCUAUUUCACAUGUGAAACUGCAAAUUUGAUGUUUUUUUUCAUAAGGGUGUGUGUGUGUCAAAUCAAAUCAAAGUUUAUUGGUCGUGUACACAAUUUGGCAGAUGUUAUAACAAUGCAGUAAAAAUGUCAAACAAGUACACAAAUAAUCAUAUGAAAAAACUAGAAAAAGUGUGUGCGAGUGUAUAUAUGAGAACAUGAGUCUGUGUGUAUGUGUGUGUAUGAUGUGUGUGUGUGUGUGUGUGUGUGUGUGUGUGUGUGUGUGUGUGUGUGUGUG